AUUGAACGCUGGCGGCAGGCCUAACACAUGCAAGUCGAGCGGCAGCGGGUCCUUCGGGAUGCCGGCGAGCGGCGGACGGGUGAGUAAUGCCUAGGAAUCUGCCUGGUAGUGGGGGAUAACGUUCGGAAACGGACGCUAAUACCGCAUACGUCCUACGGGAGAAAGUGGGGGAUCUUCGGACCUCACGCUAUCAGAUGAGCCUAGGUCGGAUUAGCUAGUUGGUGGGGUAAAGGCUCACCAAGGCGACGAUCCGUAACUGGUCUGAGAGGAUGAUCAGUCACACUGGAACUGAGACACGGUCCAGACGCCUACGGGAGGCAGCAGUGGGGAAUAUUGGACAAUGGGCGAAAGCCUGAUCCAGCCAUGCCGCGUGGGGGAAGAAGGUCUUCGGAUUGUAAAGCACUUUAAGUUGGGAGGAAGGGCAGUCAGUUAAUACCUGGUUGUUUUGACGUUACCAACAGAAUAAGCACCGGCUAACUUCGUGCCAGCAGCCGCAGUAACAC
rnacentral:rRNA from 1 species